rnacentral:rRNA from 1 species
CACGUAGGGGGCGAGCGUUGUCCGGAUUUAUUGGGCGUAAAGAGCUCGUAGGCGGCUCAGUAAGUCAGGUGUGAAAACUCCAGGCUCAACCUGGAGACGCCACUUGAUACUGCUGUGGCUAGAGUCCGGUAGGGGAGCAUGGAAUUCCUGGUGUAGCGGUGAAAUGCGCAGAUAUCAGGAGGAACACCAGUGGCGAAGGCGGUGCUCUGGGCCGGAACUGACGCUGAGGAGCGAAAGCGUGGGGAGCGAACCGG